AUGAAUCCCAUGGCCAAAUGCUGCCUACUGCUCCUCCCCAUCUUCUUCUUGGCGUUUCUCUUGCCCGAGGCGCACGCGACUUCGUGCCACCCCGACGACCUUCGUGCGCUGCAGGACUUUGUUAGGAACCUCAGCGGCGGGGGUGUCCUCCUCCAGGCCACGUGGUUCGGCGCCACAUGCUGCAGUUGGGAAGGUGUGAGCUGUGAUGCCGCCAGUGGCCGUGUCACGGCACUGCGCCUCCCCAGGCGCGGCCUUGUGGGGCCCAUCCCAGGAACCUCCCUUGCAGGCCUUGCGCGGCUUGAGGAGAUCGACCUUGGCUCCAACAACUUCCAAAACAUCUCAGGGGUACUCACAGUGUUGCGUGGGUGCCAGAACCUCACCACGCUGAUUCUCACCAAGAAUUUCGGUGGUGAGGAGCUACUAGGCGAUGGUAUUAUUGGCGGGUUCAAGAGCCUCGAGGUGCUGGCCCUUGGUGAUUGUGCUCUCAAGGGCAGGGUUCCGGAGUGGUUGUCUCAAUGCAAGAAAAUGGAGGUGCUUGAUUUGUCUGGCAACCAUUUAGUGGGCACCAUCCCAUCGUGGAUUGGUGAGCUUCACCACCUUUGCUACUUGGAUCUCUCAAACAAUUCAUUGGUUGGCGAUGCACCUAAGAGUUUGGCACUGCUAAAGGGGCUCGCCCCUGAUGGGCGUUCACCGGGCAUGGUUUUCACUAACAUUCCAUCGUAUGUGAAGCAUAACAGAAGCACACUCGGACGGCGACUUAACGAGCUCCCAAAUGUCAUCAUAGGGACAAACAACUUUGUAACAUCUGGGAGCAAGAAUGUUUUAUCCGGGAACGACAACACAGUCAUAUUUGGGGAUGAAAACACCAUAUCCGGGAAUGAAAACACCGUAUCUGGGAACAACCAUGUCGUAUCUGGGAGUAAGCAUGUCGUAUCUGGGAGCAGGCAUGGCAUAACUGGGAGAAACAGUUUCGUAUCCGGGAGCUACAAUAACGUAUCUGGGAGUAAAAAUGUAGUAUUUGGGAGCAACAAUUCUGUAUCUGGGAGGAACCAUAUUGUAUAUGGGGACAACAAGGUUAUAACAGGAGGUUGA
rnacentral:rRNA from 1 species